GACGAACGCUGGCGGCGCGCCUAACACAUGCAAGUCGAACGAGAGAUGAGGAGCUUGCUCUUCAAAUCGAGUGGCGAACGGGUGAGUAACGCGUGAGGAACCUGCCUCAAAGAGGGGGACAACAGUUGGAAACGACUGCUAAUACCGCAUAAGCCCACAGCUCGGCAUCGAGCAGAGGGAAAAGGAGCAAUCCGCUUUGAGAUGGCCUCGCGUCCGAUUAGCUGGUUGGUGAGGUAACGGCCCACCAAGGCGACGAUCGGUAGCCGGACUGAGAGGUUGAACGGCCACAUUGGGACUGAGACACGGCCCAGACUCCUACGGGAGGCAGCAGUGGGGAAUAUUGCACAAUGGGGGAAACCCUGAUGCAGCGACGCCGCGUGGAGGAAGAAGGUCUUCGGAUUGUAAACUCCUGU
rnacentral:rRNA from 1 species